GGCACGAAGCAAAAACGAACUCAAAGGCAUAAUCAUCGAGAAAAAUCACGAAUGAAACACGAAGGCACAAAGAAAUCAAAAUCAUAACUCAAUUGGGGGUUUAAUCGUCGCUUAAUCGUUUGAUAUGGAGCGAAUGCAGGUCAGAAAACAAAUCACGAAGCAAUGAGCGCUGUCGUCGAUCUCGGUGGGGGAGAAAGGGGCUGUGUAGCAGCUCUCGGCUGCUUGAUUCGGCUGUGAUAGAGAGGUGCGAAGUAAGGAGGUAGCACUCCCGACGUUUGACCAGACCGAAGAAGAGAGAGGGAGAGACGGAAACAGCGGUUGCUGUAUCUCGGACGAGAAGGAAGAGACGAAGCAGCAGGGUUGGUCGUCUUCUGUCUUGGAAGGAGUUGCGAAGGGAAAAGGGAUCAGAAGAGGGUUCGGUGUAACCAGGCAAGCAAGUGGGAGGGGUCCGAUGGUUUUGCUCGACGGGAAGAAGAAGUGGAGUUGUGAGGGGUGUUGCUCCGAUCAGUAACAGAGAGGGAGAUGGAAUGGUGGUGAUGGUGCAAGGUGGUUUUGGGAUUGUAGCAACCACGGAUUGCUGCUGUGAAUUUGAUGGGAAGGAAGAAUCCAUUUGUUCUUGGCUGGAAAUGAAGAUUCAAACAGAUAAAAAGAGCGAUCAAUUUAUACUAGGGGAGGGACAAACAGAAGAAGUGUAGGACAAAGUACAAACAUAAGAAGUGUUUGCGUGUGGUUUGUUGCUUGAGUUUGACAGGAAGAAAAUGAAUAACAAUUGCUAUGUAUUGACGGCAGGUUUAAUUUUGAAGGGGAACACGUUUUCUUUUUUACAAAUAUAGGUUAGAAGUAAUUUGGCUGUCUUUAUUUAUUUAUUUAUUUGUAUUUGGCAGAUUAAAUAGAUGCAUUUGUGUAUCAAUGGAUCUUUUAUUAUAUUUCUCACUAGUUUAUAACCGUGAAAACCACGGUUAUAAAAUUAAUUAAACUUUCAUAUUA